UUUCCGGUUGAUCCUGCCAGAGGUUACUGCUAUCGGGGUUCGAUUAAGCCAUGCAAGUCAAAUGUUCUUCGUGAACAUGGCGAACUGCUCAGUAACACGUGGACAACUUACCCUUAGGUCUGGAAUAACCCCGGGAAACUGGGGAUAAUACCAGAUAAAUCAUAGAUGCUGGAAUGCUCUAUGGUUCAAAGCUCCGGCGCCUAAGGAUGGGUCUGCGGUCUAUCAGGUAGUAGUGGGUGUAACGUACCUACUAGCCGACGACGGAUACGGGUUGUGAGAGCAAGAGCCCGGAGAUGGAUUCUGAGACACGAAUCCAGGCCCUACGGGGUGCAGCAGGCGCGAACACUUUACAAUGCGGGAAACCGCGAUAAGGGAACCCCGAGUGCCAGCAUCAAAUGUUGGCUGUCCAGAUGAUUAAAACUCAUUUGUUAGCAAGGGCCGGGCAAGACCGGUGCCAGCCGCCGCGGUAACACCGGCGGCCCGAGUGGUAACCGUUUUUAUUGGGUCUAAAGGGUCCGUAGCCGGCCUGAAAAGUCCUUUGGGAAAUCUGACAGCUUAACUGUCAGGCUUCUAAGGGAUACUGUCAGGCUUGGGACCGGGAGAGGUAAGGGGUACUCCAAGGGUAGGAGUGAAAUCUUGUAAUCCUUGGGGGACCAUCUGUGGCGAAGGCGCCUUACCAGAACGGGUCCGACGGUGAGGGACGAAAGCUAGGGGAGCAAACCGGAUUAGAUACCCGGGUAGUCCUAGCCGUAAACGAUGCUCGCUAGGUGUCUGGCACGGUGCGUCCGUGUCCGGUGCCGCAGGGAAGCCGUUAACGAGCCACCUGGGAAGUACGGUCGCAAGGCUGAAACUUAAAGGAAUGGCGGGGGAGCACACAAGCAGAAUUUC
rnacentral:rRNA from 1 species